CUGGUUGAUCCUGCCAGAGGUCAUUGCUAUCCGAGUUCGAUUAAGCCAUGCGAGUCGCGAGGGGUUAAGCCCUCGGCGAACUGCUCUGUAAUAUGCAGUCAACUUGCCCUUAGGAAGGGGAUAAUCUUGCGAAAGUGAGGCCAAUACCCUAUAGAUAUCGAUUUCUGGAAUGAGUCAAUAUCGAAAGCUCAGGCGCCUAAGGAUAGGACUACACACCACCAGGCUGUUGCUGGGGUAACGACCCAGCAAACCGAUAACGGUUACGGGCUAUGGAAGUAGGAGCCCGGAGAUGGAUUCUGAGACAUGAAUCCAGGUACUACGGUACGCAGCAGGCGCGAAACCUUUGCAAUUGGCUAACGCCAGACAAGGGAACUUGGAGUGUUCUAGCAAUGCUAGAACUUUUAUCCACUGAAAACGGGUGGGAGAAUAAGGACUGGGUAAGACGGGUGCCAGCCGCCGCGGUAAUACCCGCAGUCCGAGUGAUGGCCAGGAUUAUUGGGUCUAAAGCGUCCGUAGCCGGUUUAGAAAGUCCCUGGUGAAAUUCUACGGUAAACCGUAGAGCUUGCUAGGGAUACUUUUAGACUUGAGACCGAGAGAGGGCAGAGGUACUUCUGGGGUAGGGGUGAAAUCCUAUAAUCCUAGGGGGACCACCUGUGGCGAAGGCGUCUGCCUAGAGCGGGUCUGACGGUGAGGGACGAAAGCUUGGGGAGCGAUCGGGAUUAGAUACCCCGGUAGUCCAAGCUGUAAACGAUGCCCGCUUGGUGUUACAAACCUCUCGGGGGUUUGUAGUGCCGAAGCGUAGGUGUUAAGCGGGCCACCUGGGAAGUAUACUCGCAAGGGUGAAACUUAAGGGAAUUGGCGGGGGAGCACACAAGGGGUGGGCGUUGCGGUUCAAUUGGAUUCAACGCCGGG
rnacentral:rRNA from 1 species